CACUCACAGCCCUAGAAUUGUGACCUUUUCUGGGAGUCCUAUAGAGUUUGGGGAGCUGCCAGGAAGAACCAGGAAAGGGCUCCCCUGGAUCCCCUGGCGCCCCCAGAGGAGGGGGAGAUGCUG